AUUGUCGAAAAUGUGAUUCUAUUUUUCCAACAACAUAUUCAUUCUUGUUGGACUUUUUUGCUUCUCCAUAUUAAGCAAGUAUUCUGAGUUUGGACGUGAGUUUACAAUAUCUUAUGUGAAUAUCUAUAUAAUUCAUAAAUUCGGGAUCUUCUAUUAAAAUUGAUUUUUUAUUCUUGUAGUUAGCUCAGAUCUCUUUGCAUACAUCAAAUAAAUGACAGUCCCUAUAAACCCAUAUCAGAAGCAAUAACACGCAUAUACGAAAGUAUUAAUGCGUUUAAAGAGGGACAAAAAGAAACAUAUGAUCGAAAAAGAGGUGAAAUAAAAAAAUCAAACUUCGCCAUUACUGGCGGAUUGGAUGACAAAAAUAACUACGACACAUGGUCCAAUGCCUGCUCCUCUCCUACUUCUCCUGAUGCUGAAUACGACCACGUACAAAACAUUGGCACGGUUCUGAUGACGUGUUUACCAGAAGAUGUAUACAGCAAACAGACACCUCUUAUUCAUGAAGUUCUAGUGAUUCAAACAAAUAUGUAAUGAAGAAAAUGAGAACCCGAAAGACUUGCUCAGUGAAAAGACAACAGAAUCAAUUAAUUGAUUAUUCAGUGUGGAAGAAAAGAAUUCAGGGACUCGGAUUUGAGCAAAUUUCAGGAAAGUGAUAUUAAAAGCAUUGUUGGAAAUGCUUAAUCUGACAAAAGGGAGACAGCAAAAGCAAAACAUCGUUUACGAGAAAAACAGCAAAAUACACAAAAAGAACCCUGUCUUACAAAUGAAGCUGUUGUCGAGAACAGAAAAAAAGACGGCAGACAAAGAUGUGGGCAAAAGCUUAGAAAUGGGAAUAAAAGAUCAAGACACCUAAAGUGGGAAGGGAGAUUUGAAGAAAUCAAACUUUAAGGUAGAAAGUAAAUCUGGUAACAAUCCUCCUUCCUUACAAAGAGCAGGAAAAGUGGUGGACAAAGCAACGUCACUUCUAGGGCAAAUAUGAACAGAGUGCUGUCUGACACAAAACUGUAAAUAGAAAGUGGAAAAACAUGCUGAUGAACCCCAUGCAAAAGAGAAACAAGACCGUGACAGAUGCGCGAAGGAGACAUUGAAGAUAAUGUGAAUUUUCAUUGGGAUGUAUCGUCAUAUCAGUUUACGAAUUGUGAGGCAAGUCUAAUGAAACUUUAUCAUAACAUUUCCUUAGAUAACGCGAAAUCUCGCGAGAACUUAGACGGUCUGCUCAUCUGC